AUGGACAGCUGGACUCUACAGGGAGACAGUUACUCCUUCCUGCGCAGUGCACCCAGUACUUUUUCCCUGUGCCAUCGUGACGGCACCCCAAACCACAUUGAAAUCUUCGACAUUAUCAACACCCCAACCCAGCACAGCGUCAUAUCUGAAACUACUUCUCUGUGUGACAUUUUUGGAGACGAGCGUGAGUCUCAGUCUCUCUCCAGCAGCCCUGCUACAGGCACCUUUGCACCUUCUCUGAGGGAGGUGGAUGGGACAGCUGCUGCAUCACCCUUGGUGGACGACCUAAACGAGUCCUCAAGCUCCUACCACACCGCACCUGGCUCAAGUGAAGGGGAGGAAGGCUUUGAAGAUACAAGAGAAAAGUUUUAUAGCCCCACCCUGCAAAGUGAGCAUACAGAAAGUAAACUAACCGAGGACACAGUGCUUGACUCCAAACUUUCAAAAGUUUGUGAGGACGGAAGCCCAAAUCUAGAUCCAGAAAGUAAAUCACCAACACUACAGCAAAGUUCACCCAGUCCAUCAUCCCAGGUUUUAAACUCUGGUGAAAUUACUCCCUCUUCUGGACAUACCAGCCCCCAUACUGUCAGUACACAGGGAAGACUGUCAGCCUUGUCCUACUCAUUAGUUGAAAAAAGACAUUCAUCCUCGUUUCUUGAAUCUGAACUAGCUGAACCAAAAACAGAAUCAAGAUUAAUAUCCCCCAUAUUAAAAGAGAGACACAGCAGCCUCUCACACCAGUCUUUACCGUCAAGCCCCUCCUUUGAGCUGACUCGUGACAGUUUAUCUCUCUCUGAAUCUGGAAACAGAGAACUACAAAAAUCCCCAGAGGCAAGGAAACUUUCUUUGAAUCAAGAUAACACUCCACCUGAAGUCACACCUGAAGACUUUUCUCAGUACCUCACAGAAUCCACUUUUGAAGCCCGAUCCAUUGAUUCAUCCCCUUUGCCUUCACCUUUAGGCAGUCAGUCAUUGAGUCAGUCUAGAGAAUCACUAGUCUGUCCUGAGUUUAGAAACAGGCCCUCCCUGUCUGACAUUGAAGCAUCAUCUCCUCUCUCUGAGCUAGGAGGAAGGAUCUCACUACCGGAUCUCUUGAGGAGGGGCUCCACACCAGAUAUAGAAGAAUUGUUUAAUAGUCCUGCAUUUAUUUUAAACUCCUUUACUCCAGAAAGCCUCUCCACAACGUUUUCUGAACCAGCUGAUCCCAACUGUGCUGUUUCACCUUUUGCCCCACAAUAUACAGCCUCCUCACCUGUCAUUUUAACUGCGUUGCCAACAAAGCUCUUAAAGUGUGCUCCUUCACCUCAAUUUGACAAUACAAUUUCCUCUGAUCUCUCCUCUCCAGCUCUUUGUUGUGCUCCCUCUUCAGCCAAAAGUGGGACGAGCACUCCCUCCCCUCACCCCUCACCAAAACCAGCAUCACCUGGAGUGAGGAUUCAGGUGCCCUCACCUAGAAUUAACUACAGCUUGACUCCAUCUCCUGCAAUAAGCGACAACUACUCUUCGACUGAGUACAGGCAUAAUUCUCCCUCACCUGAAAUCAGGAUUAUAACAUCUGAACCUGAAGUAAACACGGAAGAAGUAUCUUCAGAAAUUGAGACAACGCCACCCUCUCCUUUCUUGGAUCCUUACUCUUUCUCUACCGCACCAAUAAGCCCUACAUCCUCCCCUCACAUCACAGGAAUUUGUUAUUCAGUUGUUCAACCAGAAGACAGGGAUUCCCCACCGUUUCCUGAACUAUCUCAUCUUUCUGCUGAAGAACCAGACAGCACACUUGAGUCUUCUGUGAGAAGAAGUCUGUCAGGAAGCAGAAACAGCUCACAAAGGAGUGUAGCACUGUCCAAUGGAACAGCACAAGACUCACCUCAUACAGUAGACCUCACAAACUCAGAGGCAGAGUCAGAAAACACUCAAUCUAGGCACCAGAGAGAUUCACCUCAACUAAAAUACCUCACUCCCCCACCUGAUGUGAGACAACAAAGCCCUUCACCGGGACAGUUUCAAAUUUCUACACCCGAACAAAGAAGCACACAUCAAUCGCCAGCUGUCUCAUUUUCUGAACAGCAUUCAUCAUUGUCUUUUACAACAAGUUAUAACCCCUUCUGUACAUCAUCUGUAAUAAGUGCUCCAGAGGUAGAAAGAGAAUUCCCGUCAGUUGCUGUUAUAGAAACACAAUUCCAAAAACUUUUGGAUCAAAACGGCGAAUCACUCAAAUGUAUUGCCUGCGACAGCGACAAACCAGGAAACAGUGACAGUCAAAGCUCUUCACCUUUGGUAUUUAAUCCAUCUGUGUCAAACUCACCAACCUUUGAAGAAAAAAAAGUAAACAGUCCUCAAAAACAAGAGACGGUGGAAAAAGAUUUGUCAAAAGAGGAUAGAGUUCAGGAUAAAUCAAGUCCAGCUUCUUUCCCUGAAGAAAAUCUAACAUUUAGUGGCCACAUUUGUCAGGCAGAGGAAACUUACAGUAAUUCUCUCCCUGUCAUCAAGUCAACUUCCCCAAAUCUUAUUGUGUUGAAGGAAAGGAGUCCUUCGGAUACAGCUAAAUCCCUCUCACCAUCUCAGAGUUUAGAAGACCUUCAAUCUCACUUCACCCCUUAUUCUACACCAUCAGAAAGCACAAGUUUUUUGAAACCAUACUAUACACCUCAGAUCUCAAGAAAAAAGUUGCUAACCAACUAUAGUCAAGACAACAGAACAAAAACAACAGAGGAUAUGUCACGCCAUGUAGAAAGACGGCGCACACCUUCACCGCCGCUCACCAGGUUUACACCCAUCCACAUCAUAGCCCCAGAGAAACCAUACAGACAUUGGCAGAACAGUAGCCAUAGCCACUCUCAGUUUGUAGUCCCCUCACAAAGUGGUAAUUCAAAUAAAGCAGAAACAAAUAGGGAAUGCCCCGAUGUGGCCCCUGUUGACAUUUAUAGCCAGGGUCACUGGGCUGAACCAGAAAGGCAAUUGGAGAGGGAGCAACAGUUAGUGCAGCAGAGAGAUGUAUGUCGGGAGAGGCAAAGGGAACGUGGUAUGAAAAAAGAGAGAAAGAGGGAGGAGCAGUUUAGUGAAAAGAGGGAGGGAUGGCAGAGCAACGCCAGUUACAGAGGGGAACAGGUUGAGCUGUCAUUCAGUGCCAGAAAUAGAAAAGGACCUGCAAGUAGCAGUGCAGCUCCCACUAACAGAGAGAGCCGACAGCGACUGCCAACAGUGCAUUCUCACUCGGAGAGCUUUCUUGCAACUAGGCAGCCACAGCAACAACAGAAUCUGCUCAGGGGUGGUGGAGCCAGCAGACGACAUCAAUCCCACAACAAGAGCAGCGCUUCAGGGCACUUGGCCACAAAGAGGCCUUGUCGGAGUUCCAGCUCCAGCAUGGGAAGUGAACUUGAUGAGACGGACAAUGAAGUAAAGUGGUUUUCAGAUUUGGCCUUCCGCAGCCUUUCUAGUCCUGAAGUAGACUACCUUGACAUGUACAGUUCCAGUCAUCGGUCAUCUACAAACAUUUCUCAACCAUCCACCCAGGAAAGCCCGGCAGGAGUCAAAUCUCCCUGGCUGUCAUAUGCCGAUUUCAAAGGCUCCACAGCUAAACUGGAUCAAGAUGAACUCUCCUACCAGCACUCACCUGCAUACAACUCUAAUGGCCUGGAUCCAUCCAGACGCUAUGAGCUGGGAAGUUUUGAAUGUGUUGAUGUUGCUGUAGAACGAGAGGAUGCAAGGAAAGUGAGAAGAGGAGUUCCAAAAAGGCAGAUUCAGCUCAAAAGAAGGAAUGCGGCUGAAGGAAUUCAAGAUGAAAGCAGUGAAAACAGUAGUCCAGGCAUACCAGUUUUGGCAGAAAGCCCCUCUCAAGACAGUAUAUCCAGAGUAACUUUUUUGAGACAACAUAGCACACCAGCAGUAAUGCAAGAAUGUUGCCAGUCCGAGUGCAGCCCUGAACGCCCUCAAGAGAUAGACAUUAAAUCUAAACUCCAGAAAUCUGCUUCUGUGGAUGAAUCAUGCACUAAAACCAAAAAGGCUUCUCAUCUUAUCAAGAGUGUGCUGUCUAAGAAGAUGCAAAGUUUUGACAAACAAUCUGAUGAGCAGGGGGAGGAAGAUAUUUGCCCUAAGUCAGAGGAUGACAGCCCACCAACAUUAAACAUAUUGCAACAAGAUCAAAAAUCCCAGAAACAAAGUGAACAAAAUCUGAGUUCUAAUCGCCAAUCUGAUUACAACCUUUCAUCAGGGGGUCUUCCUCUAAAGGCUGAACCCACUGCAAAGGACGAAACCAAACCACCAAGGGGAUUUUUUAUGAGACCUAGUAACAGGUCAAGUUCAUCCACCAGCAGCAGAAGUAUUAAUUUUUCAAUGACUGGUAGUGAAGAGGUUGAAUCUCAAAACAAAAAUGCUAAUUUGUUAAGACCCGAAAUGAGAUCAGAACUGAAAGUGCCAUUUGAUAGUGACCACAGUGGGCCUGUACUCCGACGAGUGAACGAUAGCAAAACACAUGAAAGGGAGGAUGGUGACACCGCAAAUGCCUCUGUUAGGAACACAGAGUCUUCUUCUGUCAGUGGACCCAACAGCACACAGGCCAGAGUUACAAACAAAGAUCAGGAAUCUAAAAACACAGAGGACUGCAAAAGACAGAACAUUAUCCCCAAAGCUAUGGAAAAUAAGAAAGCGUCUCUCAAUGUCUGCCUUACACCUGAAGCAGAAAACCAACCUGAGACUUUUUCUUUACCAGCUGCACCUAUAAGAGAAAAUGGAGAAAAAACAAACAGCUGUAAAGAUGAAAUAGCCGAAGACUCAGAUGAAAGUAAUGCUAUUAAAGCCCCUCUUCACAAAGUUAGGGAUGUGAGAAGGUUAGUAAAAAACACCUAUAAUCUGUCCUUCAAGGCUGCUACCAUGCCACCAAAUGUGAGUGAAGAGAGGACAAACAUUUUCAAUGAGGAAAGGAGGGAGGUGGUCAGAACAUGUGAUGACAAAGGUACAAGGCAGGAGAUAAAGCAUGAGGAAAAAGAAAACGAGGUCUGGAUGAAGAGGAAAGAUCCACAGAGGGAGGAGGUGAAAACUAUAUCCCCCCCUGUUCCGAAAAAAAGGCAGUCUCCAUCCAAUCCUCACCCAAUGCAAAUACAAUGCAAGGCUGUUUGCUGGAAGGAAGACAAAGCUAAAACCUCAUGCUUCAAGAGGGUCUUGGACAAUCCAGGUGAACAAUCCCCAACUUUUUCAAACUCUGUCAAUGAGGUAAGCAAAGAAUCUUUGAAUGUGCCAAAUUACACAAAAGGAGACACCUCACCUAUCAGCAAACAUCAUGAUGUAAACACUGCAGCAGAAACACAGACCACAACAGAAAUCCAUAAAGUGGGAGAUAAUGAGGACAAGCCAGUAUUAGUAAAAACAGAGAGAAAAGCUACGAUGCUUGAAAGCCUCCCCAAAAUGCUCAGUAAAGAACGAGAAGUCUCAACUGCAGUGGUGUUGAUAAGAGAAGGACAAUGUCAGACCAAGUGUUCUACAUCUCAAAUCCAGGAAGAGAUUCCUACCAUUGUAGAGGCUCCAGCUGUUAUGCCUGAUCUCUCAUCCCUUGGAACUGGAGGACACUCUGUUUCCAUGUUACUAAAAGAGAAAGGAUACCAAGCAGAUAUUGGAGCAGUGGUGGGUGAAAACCAAAAUACAGUUGGAGUUAAAGAAGUUCCCCAUAAGCAUGUGAACCACUUGGAAAUUCCUCUUCAGACGAACACAUUGUCAUGUGGUAGUUCAACUGAAUCUCAUAAAGAAAAAACAAUUGUUUCUGGAUCCCCAUCUGGUAAAACAGAAAUAAUCACAAAGACAAAAAAUGGUGAAAAUCAAAUUUUAGUACGCCUAUGGAAAAAGAAAUGCCCAAAGAGAAAAUACUAG
ensembl:lncRNA